GGGGGCAGGAAACAUACGGUUGUUGUUGAAUGGUAGAGUUGGAAGAGAUGACAAAGGCCAUAGAGUCCAACCCCCUGCCAUGAUGAUGAUGAUGACAGAUUGUCCUUGAGGUGGGGAUGGACAGUAGACAAUAGGAGAUCCAACCUUGGAUCAUAGAGCUGGAAGAGAUGACAAGGGACAUGGAAUCUGACCCCCUGCCAUGAUGAUGGUGAAGUUGGUGAUGAUGACAGAGCAAGACUAUAAGACUCAAUGUAGAGGAUGGAGAUUCGCCUUCCAGAUGUUGUGGAAUGUCCUUCAGCUCCACCUUAUGCAGACUGAGCAUCAGCCUGGCGAGCCUUCUUCUGCCCUGGGGUGGGAGCCAUGAAAGCCAACCUCCUGCCAUGAUGAUGAUGAUGAUGAUGAAGAAGAUGGCAGAGCGCAGAGCGUAUUGCCCCUCCUUCCCGCCCGACCCCCGCUUGGCUUCACCUGGAGGCCCAUGGCCUCGGCGUGGUGCCUCUCCCGUCGUGGAGCUGCCUCUCGAGGGCCUCGUUGGUCUCCGCGGAGGCUCUCGGCCCUCGAGGCUGCCGGCCCUGGAGCUGUCGGCGGUACUCGUCCGGCCCUCGUC
rnacentral:lncRNA from 11 species